GUAUAUCUUCGAAAAGCCUGACUACAAGGCAGCCCACAUUAAACUGCAUCUGCAACGUGGUGACGUCUUCACAUUGCGAAACCACGCAGUUACGCGAUGAAGUGCCGUGCGCAAAACCGUGUGCACCAAUAGCUUCAAUAUAAAUCCUCAGAUGGCGCCACGAACAUAUCUACUUCGCGCUGACGUUACCCAAGAUGCUGUGGCCGAAGCGGGAAGACACAAAGGAAUCGAAAUCGUCAGAUAAGCAGACAAACCAGAAGAGGACGACAUCUACAUGUUGCAAACCAUCAUCAAAAAGCGAAUGCUGCCAAUCGUGCAAACCUCCAUGCAAGUGUAGAAGGAUUGUAAUACGACCACUCAUGUUUUCAUAUUACACAGAUUUGAUGCAUUAAACCAAAAAUUAUGUUUCAUUGUCUACUGUAUAAUUUUCUACGGAUAAUAUGAAACUUAAAGAAUAUAAAGAAUUAAUAAUU